rnacentral:rRNA from 1 species
GGGUCAGUAGGUUGGUCGUGCCACCGGUACGUACUGGCCUCACUGAUUCCUCCUUCCUGAAGAACCGUAAUGCCAUUAAUUCGGUGUUGCGGGGAAACAGGACUGUUACUUUGAAAAAAUUAGAGUGUUUAAAGCAAGCUAACGCUUGAAUACAUUAGCAUGGAAUAAUGAAAUAGGACGAUCGAUCCUAUUUUGUUGGUUUCUAGGAUUGACGUA